rnacentral:rRNA from 1 species
UGCCAGCAGCCGCGGUAAUACAAAGGGUGCAAGCGUUAAUCGGAAUUACUGGGCGUAAAGCGCGCGUAGGCGGUUUUUUAAGAUGGAUGUGAAAUCCCCGGGCUCAACCUGGGAAACUGCAUUCGUAACUGCCUGACUAGAGUACGGUAGAGGGAGGUGGAAUAUUCCUGGGUAGCGACGAAAUGCGUAAUAUAGGAAGGAACUCCAGUGGCGAAGGCGACCACCUGGACUGAUACUGACACUGAAGUGCAAAAGCUUGGGGGACCAAACAGGAUUAAAAUCCCAUGGUAGUCCCCCCCCGUAAAAAGAUGUCUACUAGCUGUUGGGAUCCUUUAGAUCUU